CGGCGGACGGGUGAGUAACGCGUGGGUAACCUACCUCAUACAGGGGGAUAACAGUUGGAAACGGCUGCUAAUACCGCAUAAGCGCACAGUACCGCAUGGUACCGUGUGAAAAACUCCGGUGGUAUGAGAUGGACCCGCGUCUGAUUAGCUAGUUGGUAGGGUAACGGCCUACCAAGGCGACGAUCAGUAGCCGACCUGAGAGGGUGACCGGCCACAUUGGGACUGAGACACGGCCCAA
rnacentral:rRNA from 1 species